AUUUUUAUAGUUGAAUUACAACGGUGGUUUUUCAUAUCACUGGUUCUAGUUAAAACUACUAGGUGAAAAUA
rnacentral:tRNA from 1 species